rnacentral:sRNA from 1 species
CGUCUUUUUCCCUUUCGGGGGCCGCUAAAAACACAAUUAAGUUCAGCAAAGGAGAUUAACUCUGCCAAGCUUGAUGAUUGCAAAGAGAGGAACAUGCCAGGAAGAGUUCAUCCCCGUGUCUGCCUUUCUCUCAACCUAGAAAUGAAUUAAAACGUCAAGAUAUCAGCUGGCAGAUACAUUAACUGAAUGAGGAGAGACGGCUGCAUCUAUAGGAACAAAACAUUUUAAUAUUUGAAACAUUCUACUUGAGAAAAGAAAGGAUAGACAUUCAAUGCUUUUUUGUUGUUGUUUUAAUAAUGUGAUGCUUAAUAAAGAUAUGAUGAUUUAAUUUUUGAAA